AUACCCACCCAUACAGGGUGUCACAAUACAGUAUAUAAUGUACUGGCAAACAGGGGUUCAGGGGGCAGAGUGAGAAUAAAAGAGGCGCCAUUCUGCCUAUUAUCAGUUAUUUUUUAGUUAUUUAAGAUCAUGCUGCUCCCAGUCAGUCCAGCAGUACCUCUCAGUGUGGUCUGUUCCAGUCACCUUUGCCUGAUGUCCACACCCACCUACAUACCUGCUCUUCAUUCAAACAUUAGUCCAGUAUAUAUAUCCAGUCUCCUCCAAAAGUAUUGGAACGCUGGGCAGACCAAAUAAUAAUCCCCCCGACUGACCAGAGGAGGGCAGCCUGGUUAGAGUUCACGCUUCCCAUCAGUUCCUCAUUGGCCUUCAGUGUUUCCCCCACUAGAGAGUGCCAGAUGCAGUGAUUUUUCCCAGUCAGAGGAGGAGGGAGAGGAAUCUUUUCAUGUGCCGCCUUUCUGACUACCUGCCUGAGUGACUUACUCACUGCUUCAGCCUGACCUAAUAAAUCACAUUACCGGGGCCAGCAGUGUAAUUACUGGCCAUCUGUCGGGCCUCUUUUUUUAACUCUGGGCUGGAGUGUGUGGACUGGACUGGACAAGAGUCAGCAGAGUGGAAUGGACAGAAAUCCAAUGGAGUGGACUGAGCUGGAUUCAGCAACCUGGCCAGGAUAUACCCCACUUUUCGCCCGAUGUCAGCUGGGAUUGGCUCCUAACCCCCCCCACCCGACCCUGUACACAGGAUAAGCGGUGACAAUGGAUGGAUGGAUGGCCAUUUCUUUUCUCUAAAUAAAAUGUCAGGAUAUUUUUUUAAAUUCAUGAUCGUGUGACUGCUUGCAUUUGUUGCCCCAUUGGAACUAUUUUUAGCAAUGCAGUUGUCAUGAACCAUUGUUUUCCUUGGCUGAAAAUUACUUUUCUGCUUUGGCUGCACUAAUUUUAUCAACUAGUUGACUAAUCAGUACUCCUGCCUAAGUGUCAGCGGACAGGUUUAGGUAAACUGGUACAUAGAUACAUUUCUCUGUUAAAGAUGGUAUUGAUGGUU